rnacentral:lncRNA from 1 species
AAAAAUUUAAAUAUUCAGAAGUAAUCAUUGGCUCAACUUCAUAACUGAGUGGCAACUCCAGCUAAAGUUCUCAUUAACUGCAGUAUGCCAAGCCUUGUCAUGGCUGAAAAAAAAGUCGAGCAAACAGGGUUUCCAUUAAAAUUUUAUUUAUGACCUGAGUGACACAGAUUUGUUUCCGUGCUUCAAAAGGGGAAGGAGGGAGAAAGGUCUCCGGUUUGUCUCUGGCUUCUUUCACCUCUGUACGGACCAACCUCCCACUUCUUGUUCUUCAUUUUCCCGGUGGCCGUGGGAACAACCAUGCCAUCUCUGGGAGUGUGCCGGGGAAGGGGAGCAGACAACAGAACCUGCGCAGGGCUUGCUUACUUUGAGGGAGGCUUCACUUUAAGGCCCUGCUGUGUGCGCGCCAUGUGAGCCUCCGCCUGGUCUCCAGCAGGGGCCUCCCUGGGCAAGCACAGCACCCAGCCCAGCUGCCUCCCCAGGGUGAGCCCCGAAGAUUCCUCAAGCAUGGCGGGCCCUUCACAAGGCUUGCCUACCUUGCUCUGUGCAAAUCCCCUUGGCUUGAGAAAGAGAAGGGAGAGAAGUUGAGAGAAGAACAAAAAGGUGGGACCUUGCCCCAGAAAAUGAAGACUCAGAAAGCUCAGAACCCACAGUCUAAAUCUAAAACCUUGUCUGUGCCCACUUGCACCUCCCCAGCCUCAGCUGCACGGUGGGAGUGCACAGCACUGACAGCUGCCGCAGAGGCCCUGGCUCUGCACUCAGGCUCCUUAGCAAUCCCAGGCCUGCCCUCCCCUGGAGCAGAGGUACGAGACGAUGUGACUCCAGAGCCCUACUGAUUGUGUCAUUCUGCUAAAAACCAUUUUCAGCAGAUUCAGUGCCUCUUUACUAUUACCAAUGUAACAAACACGUUUAAGAUGCUUUCUGUAGUAACAGAUCUUUCCAUAUGGAAACUUGUCAAAUAGAGGUGUCUGUGUGCAGUUCUUCCUUUCUCUUUGGCAACAACUGUUGCUUGGAUGAUCUUUACUCUCCCCUAUAUCAGCAAAAACACCAUCCUGAUGCAGACAGCAGAUCAAACGGGAACUGGAUGUCAGGCACAUCCCUUCCCACAAGUUGGUCCCUGAGGUAGCCAUUCAUCAGUCCUUACAGUGUACCUGUAGUGUGUCCAUGUCACCUCCCAGCAGCUAAGCACACAGCUCUACACCCAGCCUUGAAGGCCACGCAUCCAUGUGGCUCUGGAGGCACGUGACGGCUUAGGACUCGAUCUGGGUGCAGGCCUUGGAAUGCUCCUCACUGCUUAGGCAUGGCACUGGUUACAGAAGGCUGGUUCUCAAGCUGCAGGUUUUAACUGGUCUUAAAGAUCUCAAGACCCUCCAGCAUCAUCUGUUAAAAGAAAUACCAAAAGCUAAAAUUCAGCUAAAAAAGUAC